rnacentral:sRNA from 1 species
CCCCGAAGCUCCGCCACCCGCCGCCAUGAGUAGCUUUGGAGCUGGCAAAACCAAAGAAGUUAUCUUCAGUGUGGAGGAUGGCUCCGUGAAAAUGUUCCUGAGGGGCCGCCCUGUGCCCAUGAUGAUCCCAGACGAGCUGGCACCCACCUACAGCCUGGACACACGCUCGGAGCUGCCUUCUUGCCGGCUCAAGCUGGACUGGGUCUAUGGCUACCGUGGCCGAGACUGCCGGGCCAACCUUUAUUUGCUGCCCACCGGGGAGAUAGUGUACUUUGUGGCCUCCGUAGCCGUGCUAUACAGCGUGGAGGAGCAGAGGCAGCGACACUACCUGGGACACAACGAUGACAUCAAAUGCUUGGCCAUCCACCCAGAUAUGGUCACCAUCGCCACGGGACAGGUGGCGGGCACCACUAAGGAAGGGAAGCCGCUGCCGCCCCACGUGCGCAUCUGGGACUCAGUUUCCCUCUCCACCUUACACGUGCUGGGCUUGGGGGUGUUUGACAGAGCCGUGUGCUGUGUGGGCUUCUCCAAAUCUAAUGGAGGCAACCUGCUGUGUGCAGUGGAUGAAUCCAAUGAUCACAUGCUCUCGGUGUGGGACUGGGCCAAGGAGACCAAGGUGGUGGAUGUCAAGUGCUCCAAUGAGGCUGUAUUGGUGGCCACCUUCCACCCCACGGACCCCACUGUGCUUAUCACCUGCGGGAAAUCUCACAUCUACUUCUGGACCUUGGAGGGGGGCAGCUUGAGCAAGCGGCAAGGCCUCUUUGAGAAACAUGAGAAACCGAAGUAUGUGCUGUGUGUGACCUUUUUGGAAGGUGGCGACGUGGUCACGGGGGACUCUGGGGGGAACCUCUAUGUUUGGGGCAAAGGUGGGAACCGUAUCACACAGGCGGUGCUGGGCGCCCACGACGGCGGCGUGUUUGGGCUCUGCGCCCUGCGGGACGGGACGCUGGUGUCUGGAGGGGGCCGUGAUCGGCGGGUGGUCCUCUGGGGUUCUGACUACAGCAAGCUGCAGGAAGUGGAGGUCCCUGAGGACUUUGGCCCCGUGCGCACCGUGGCAGAGGGCCACGGAGACACACUGUACGUGGGGACCACCCGCAAUUCCAUUCUGCAGGGCUCCGUGCACACAGGCUUCUCACUGCUGGUCCAGGUGCGCCUCUCUCCUCUGCACCCCUCCCCUCUUCCCAGCUCUUUCCCUGGCCUUCCCUGCAUCAUCCACUCCCCCUCCCCACUCCCAGUUCUCCUCACCUCCCUGCUCUGUCCCUUCUCUGACCUGGCCCUGACCCAGGACCCCUUCCCAGGAUCCAGCAACCAAGAGUUUAACUCCAAGCACAGCAGAGGGGCCCCAGGCCCCUGCUCCAACUGUGCUGCCUCCUGCCACUCUGAUUGGGGGUGGCACCCUUCAGGUUGGUGAGUGUCCCUACAGGUUGUCCCACAGCUGCAGACACCCUGGCCACACACCUCUCAGACUCCAGCUCCACGGAUUGGGGAAGGUCCUGCUGGAGUCUGCUUGCAUUUCUUCUCGAAGCUCAAACGCCUGCUCCU